CCUGCCUGCCCCGCCCACCCUGUUCUUGUCGCCGCUCAGUGUCUGCCUUGCAACUUCCGAGCCGGAAACUUCCAGGCCGGCGUCAAGAGCAGGGCACCCCCUCGGGCUAGAGACGGCGUCCGGAAUAGGAUUCCUCCGCGG
rnacentral:miRNA from 1 species